rnacentral:rRNA from 1 species
GUUUGAUUCUGACUCAGAUUGAACCUGGCGGGAUACUUUGCAUACAAGGUGAACGGCAGCACGGACUUCGGUCUGGUGGCGGGUAGCGAACAGGUGAGUAAUGUAUCCGGAACGUGCCCCUGAAAGUAGCGGGGGAUAACUACGCUGAAAGCGUAGCUAAUACCGCAUACGCCCUUCGAAAGCAGGGACCUUCGGGCCUCGCACUAUUAGAGCGGCCGAUAUCGGAUUAGCUAGUUGGUGGGGUAACAGCUCACCAAGGCGACGAUCGUAAGCUGGUUUGAAGGACGACCAACCACACUGGGACCAGAGACACGGCCCAGACUCCUACGGGAGGCAGCAGUGGGGAAUUGGACAAUGGGGGAAACCUGAUCAACCAUCCCGCGCGUGUACGGUAGAGCCUUCAGGUUGUAAAGCACUUCAGCAGAAAGAAGCAGCACGGGAUAAUACCCGUGCAACUGACGAGGUACCUGCAGAAUAAGCACCGGCUAACUACGUGCCCGGCAGCCGCGGUAAUACGUAGGGUGCAAGCGUUAAUCAGGUACUGGGCGUAAAGCGUGCGCGAGCGGUUCGGAGAGAAAGAUGUGAAAUCUGAGGCUUAACUUUGGGGCUGCAUUUUUAACUACCGAGCUAGAGUGUGUCGGGGAGGUGGAAUUCACGCCGUGUAACUGAUGAAAUGCGUAGAUAUGCGGAGGAACACCGAUGGCGACGGCCUCCUGGGAUAACACUGACGCUCAUGCACGAAAGCGUGGGGAGCAAACAGGAUUAGAUACCCUGAAGUGGCGAUCACGCCCUAAACGAUGUCAACUAAGCUGUUGGGGCCUUCGGGUGUAGUGAUGGCGCAGCUAACGCGUGAAGUUGACCGCCUGGGGAGGGUACGGUCGCAAGAUUAAAACUCAAAGGAAUUGACGGGGAUACACAAGCGUGGAUGAUGCAGUUAAUUCGAUGCAACGCGAAAAACCCUUACCUACCCUUGACAUGUCUGGAAUCCCGAAGAGAUUUGGGAGUGCUCGCAAGAGAACCGGAACUGGGUGCUGCAUGGCUGUCGUCAGCUCGUGUCGUAGAUGUUGGGUUAAGUCCCGCAACGAGCGCAGCCCUUGUCAUUAGUUGCUACGAAAGGAGCACUCUAAUGAGACUGCCGGUGACAAACCGGAGGAAGGUGGGGAUGACGUCAGUCCUCAUGGCCCUUGCCAGGUAGGGCACGCACGUCAUACAAUGGUCGGGACAGAGGGUCGCCAACCCCGCGAGGAGCCAAUCCCAGAAACCGAUCGUAGUCGGAUCGCAGUCUGCAACUCGACUGCGUGAAGUCGGAAUCGCUAGUAAUCGCGGAUCAGCAUGUCGCGGUGAAUACGUUCCCGGGUCUUAUGCACACCGCCCGUCAUUUCCUUGGGAGUGGGUUUUGAAGUAGUUAGCCUAACCGUAAGGAGAGGGGCGAUUACCACGGUAGGAUUCAUGACUGGGGUGAAGUCGUAACAAGGUAACCCUGUUACUACCUGAGUAUGCAG